CAGCCGCCACGGGAACACCAGCACCUCGAGUGGUCAGGAGGUUUAUUGGGCCUAAAGCAUCCGUAGCCGGUUGUUUAAGUUUUCGGUUAAAUCUAUGCGCUUAACGUAUAGGCUGCCGAAAAUACUGGACAGCUAGGGAGUGGGAGAGGUACACGGUACUCAAUAGGAAGGGGUAAAAUCCUUUGAUCUGUUGAUGACCACCUGUGGCGAAGGCGGUGUACCAGAACACGUUCGACGGUGAGGGAUGAAAGCUGGGGGAGCAAACCGGAUUAGAUACCCCCGUAGUCCCUGUCUCUUAUAC
rnacentral:rRNA from 1 species